rnacentral:rRNA from 1 species
GUGCCAGCAGCCGCGGUAAUACAGAGGCCCCGAGCGUUAAUCGGAAUCACUGGGCUUAAAGGGUGCGUAGGCGGGUCAGUAAGCGCUUUGUGAAAUCCCACAGCUCAACUGUGGAACCGCAGGGCGAACUGCUGAUCUUGAGGAAGCUAGAGGCUGGUAGAACGAUAGGUGGAGCGGUGGAAUGCGUAGAGAUCUAUCGGAAUGCCGAAAGUGAAGACAGCCAGCUGGGGCUUUCCUGACGCUAAAGCACGAAAGCGUGGGGAGCAAACCGGAUUAGAUACCCUGGUAGUCC